GGGCAGAAUGGGUUAUUGUUGUUUAUUAUUAUCCAGGCUAAUAGAACCAAGUGGACAGAAUGGGUUAUUGUUGUUUAUUAUUAUCCAGGCUAUUAGAACCAAGUGGACAGAAUGGGUUAUUGUUGGUUAUUAUUAUCCAGGCUAAUAGAACCAAGUGGACAGAAUGGGUUAUUGUUGUUUAUUAUUAUCCAGGCUAAUAGAACCAAGUGGGCAGAAUGGGUUAUUGUUGGUUAUUAUUAUCCAGGCUAAUAGAACCAAGUGGACAGAAUGGGUUAUUGUUGUUUAUUAUUAUCCAUGCUAAUAGAACCAAGUGGAC
rnacentral:lncRNA from 1 species